GACGAACGCUGGCGGCGUGCUUAACACGUGCAAGUCGAGCGGAAAGGCCCUGCUUUUGUGGGGUGCUCGAGUGGCGAACGGGUGAGUAACACGUGAGUAACCUGCCCUUGACUUUGGGAUAACUUCAGGAAACUGGGGCUAAUACCGGAUAGGAGCUCCUGCUGCAUGGUGGGGGUUGGAAAGUUUCGGCGGUUGGGGAUGGACUCGCGGCUUAUCAGCUUGUUGGUGGGGUAGUGGCUUACCAAGGCUUUGACGGGUAGCCGGCCUGAGAGGGUGACCGGCCACAUUGGGACUAAGAUACGGCCCAGACUCCUACGGGAGGCAGCAGUGGGGAAUAUUGCACAAUGGGCGGAAGCCUGAUGCAGCAACGCCGCGUGCGGGAUGACGGCCUUCGGGUUGUAAACCGCUUUCGCCUGUGACGAAGCGUGAGUGACGGUAAUGGGUAAAGAAGCACCGGCUAACUACGUG
rnacentral:rRNA from 1 species